UACGGGGGGGGCAAGCGUUGUUCGGAAUUACUGGGCGUAAAGGGCUCGUAGGCGGCCAACUAAGUCAGACGUGAAAUCCCUCGGCUUAACCGGGGAACUGCGUCUGAUACUGGAUGGCUAGAGAUUGGGAGAGGGAUGCGGAAUUCCAGGUGUAGCGGUGAAAUGCGUAGAUAUCUGGAGGAACACCGGUGGCGAAGGCGGCAUCCUGGACCAACACUGACGCUGAGGAGCGAAAGCCAGGGGAGCAAAGCGGGG
rnacentral:rRNA from 1 species